AUUGAACGCUGGCGGCAUGCCUUACACAUGCAAGUCGAACGGCAGCACGGGUGCUUGCACCUGGUGGCGAGUGGCGAACGGGUGAGUAAUACAUCGGAACAUGUCCUGUAGUGGGGGAUAGCCCGGCGAAAGCCGGAUUAAUACCGCAUACGAUCUACGGAUGACAGCGGGGGACCUGCAGGCCUCGCGCUAUAGGGUUGGCAGAUGGCUGAUUAGCUCGUUGGUGGGGUAAAGGCCUACCAAGGCGACGAUCAGUAGCUGGUCUGAGAGGACGACCAGCCACACUGGGACUGAGACACGGCCCAGACUCCUACGGGAGGCAGCAGUGGGGAAUUUUGGACAAUGGGCGAAAGCCUGAUCCAGCAAUGCCGCGUGUGUGAAGAAGGCCUUCGGGUUGUAAAGCACUUUUGUCCGGAAAGAAAUCCUUGGCCCUAAUACGGUCGGGGGAUGACGGUACCGGAAGAAUAAGCACCGGCUAACUACGUG
rnacentral:rRNA from 1 species